rnacentral:tRNA from 1 species
GGGUGAAUAGCUCAAUCGGGAGAGCGCCUGUCUUACACGCAGGAGGUCGUUGGUUCGAUCCCAACUUCACCCA